rnacentral:rRNA from 1 species
GGGUUGUGAGGUUAAGCGACUAAGCGUACACGGUGGAUGCCCUGGCAGUCAGAGGCGAUGAAGGACGUGCUAAUCUGCGAUAAGCGUCGGUAAGGUGAUAUGAACCGUUAUAACCGGCGAUUUCCGAAUGGGGAAACCCAGUGUGUUUCGACACACUAUCAUUAACUGAAUCCAUAGGUUAAUGAGGCGAACCGGGGGAACUGAAACAUCUAAGUACCCCGAGGAAAAGAAAUCAACCGAGAUUCCCCCAGUAGCGGCGAGCGAACGGGGAGCAGCCCAGAGCCUGAAUCAGUGUGUGUGUUAGUGGAAGCGUCUGGAAAGGCGCGCGAUACAGGGUGACAGCCCCGUACACAAAAAUGCACAUGCUGUGAGCUCGAUGAGUAGGGCGGGACACGUGGUAUCCUGUCUGAAUAUGGGGGGACCAUCCUCCAAGGCUAAAUACUCCUGACUGACCGAUAGUGAACCAGUACCGUGAGGGAAAGGCGAAAAGAACCCCGGCGAGGGGAGUGAAAAAGAACCUGAAACCGUGUACGUACAAGCAGUGGGAGCACGCUUAGGCGUGUGACUGCGUACCUUUUGUAUAAUGGGUCAGCGACUUAUAUUCUGUAGCAAGGUUAACCGAAUAGGGGAGCCGAAGGGAAACCGAGUCUUAACUGGGCGUUAAGUUGCAGGGUAUAGACCCGAAACCCGGUGAUCUAGCCAUGGGCAGGUUGAAGGUUGGGUAACACUAACUGGAGGACCGAACCGACUAAUGUUGAAAAAUUAGCGGAUGACUUGUGGCUGGGGGUGAAAGGCCAAUCAAACCGGGAGAUAGCUGGUUCUCCCCGAAAGCUAUUUAGGUAGCGCCUCGUGAAUUCAUCUCCGGGGGUAGAGCACUGUUUCGGCAAGGGGGUCAUCCCGACUUACCAACCCGAUGCAAACUGCGAAUACCGGAGAAUGUUAUCACGGGAGACACACGGCGGGUGCUAACGUCCGUCGUGAAGAGGGAAACAACCCAGACCGCCAGCUAAGGUCCCAAAGUCAUGGUUAAGUGGGAAACGAUGUGGGAAGGCCCAGACAGCCAGGAUGUUGGCUUAGAAGCAGCCAUCAUUUAAAGAAAGCGUAAUAGCUCACUGGUCGAGUCGGCCUGCGCGGAAGAUGUAACGGGGCUAAACCAUGCACCGAAGCUGCGGCAGCGACACUAUGUGUUGUUGGGUAGGGGAGCGUUCUGUAAGCCUGUGAAGGUGUGCUGUGAGGCAUGCUGGAGGUAUCAGAAGUGCGAAUGCUGACAUAAGUAACGAUAAAGCGGGUGAAAAGCCCGCUCGCCGGAAGACCAAGGGUUCCUGUCCAACGUUAAUCGGGGCAGGGUGAGUCGACCCCUAAGGCGAGGCCGAAAGGCGUAGUCGAUGGGAAACAGGUUAAUAUUCCUGUACUUGGUGUUACUGCGAAGGGGGGACGGAGAAGGCUAUGUUGGCCGGGCGACGGUUGUCCCGGUUUAAGCGUGUAGGCUGGUUUUCCAGGCAAAUCCGGAAAAUCAAGGCUGAGGCGUGAUGACGAGGCACUACGGUGCUGAAGCAACAAAUGCCCUGCUUCCAGGAAAAGCCUCUAAGCAUCAGGUAACAUCAAAUCGUACCCCAAACCGACACAGGUGGUCAGGUAGAGAAUACCAAGGCGCUUGAGAGAACUCGGGUGAAGGAACUAGGCAAAAUGGUGCCGUAACUUCGGGAGAAGGCACGCUGAUAUGUAGGUGA